UACGGAGGGUGCAAGCGUUAUCCGGAAUCACUGGGCUUAAAGGGCGCGUAGGCGGCUUGCCAAGUCGGGGGUGAAAUCCGGCAGCUUAACUGUCGAAGUGCCUUCGAUACUGGCAAGCUAGAGGGAGGUAGGGGUCUGUGGAACUUCUGGUGGAGCGGUGAAAUGCGUUGAUAUCAGAAGGAACGCCGGUGGCGAAAGCGACGGACUGGAUCUCUUCUGACGCUGAGGCGCGAAAGCUAGGGGAGCAAACGGG
rnacentral:rRNA from 1 species